rnacentral:other from 1 species
AUCCUGCGAUGUGCGUUUCGGUUAUACUUUGUUUUGAACCAAUGAAGAUGUCUUGGGAGAUCAACAUUGCAGCGCGGCUGAUAAGCCCUAUCUAUAUGAUUAGGGGACUUCAAAAACGGUGCUGAGGUCACCCACCUGCCAAUGCAGGUUCUAAGACAAUGUGAUCGGACGGCAUAAGCGGGAUU